rnacentral:lncRNA from 1 species
AGUGGUAUACCUGUGACACCUGCUGGCCAAACGUAGUUAUUGCAACUUAAGGUCAACACGCAAACCAGCAAGCACAGACCUCAAUCUUCCGGGAUUUUACUUGAGCUUAAACAUGUCUCAACAGAUUUCCACUCCUGGCAGACGGAUAUCAGUUGCUGACUACAGCCUCCUCCUAAAGACUGCGAGCCCUAGACUUGCUGUGGAUGUGAACCAGUCCAGCUGAUGUGGACACCCCUUAUAUCUGCAACAGAGUCUGCCAACCAGAAGCUCCUGAUGGAUUCCCUAUUGGCUAAAUUCCCUUUUUUGCUUUUGACUAGCAUUUCAGCUUUCUUGGGUCCCUGACUUCGUCCCAAAGUCAGCAGGAAGUAGCAUGGGAAAGGACAUGUCGCCCAUUUUCCCUGGUUAAAAUGCUAAGUCAAAAGGAACUCCCUUACAUGGGGAAAUGACAAUAUCUCUCAUUCCCUGAUGGGGGCGCUGGAGAGUCAGCAACCACCCUAGUUUCCACUCGAAUAGGGACCCUGUUCAUACUCCUCCUGCUCCUGACAUUAGGCCCCUGUCCCCUCUUACAGUUCAUAUGUGAGACUAUCCGUCACUCAGGCCCUCGUCCUUACUCAACAGUAUCAAGCCAUACUGAACACUGAGGUCCCCUGAGGUUUUAAGAUUAAAACCUUGCAAAAGAAAAAGGAGGGAAUGAAAGACAUAAAAAUUAGCAAAGAAAAAUAGCCCAGAAACUGACCAAGGCUACUACUAUGACUUAGUGCCUGGAAUUUAACAGCCACCAGCAAUUACUCCCUUACAAGGCCAUAAGAUAACUGGGUACCAAGAAUUCCCAGAUGGCCACCCUCCCCAAGGGACUCAUGAAGGAAACAGAUUGCCCCACCAGCCAAUGUGUCAAUAAUUAACAAUUAAGGGUCCCUAUGAAACAAAGAGAUAGCUACCAUUAGUUAGCACAUCCUGAGGGCUGCAGGUUUUACAACUGGUGGGUCAGGAGGCUAUCUGAUUCCCAGGCCUCCCCUCAAGACAAAAGGCCUCCUAGGAACCCAUGACUCUGGUCACGUAUUCAACGGACAGAGAGUCGAGGCCCCUCCCUAAGCGUAUGGUUUUUGCCUUUAAAAAUGCCUGUGCCUGGGGGACGGGGCUGCUCUCUAGCCUGCAUGCUGGGAGAGCCCGUUUG